rnacentral:rRNA from 1 species
UGGGGAAUCUUGCGCAAUGGGCGAAAGCCUGACGCAGCGACGCCGCGUGGGUGAUGAAGGCCUUCGGGUCGUAAAGCCCUGUGGGGGGAGACGAAUAAGUCGAGGCGAAUACCCUCGAUGAUGACGGUAUCUCCUUAGCAAGCACCGGCUAACUCUGUGCCAGCAGCCGCGGUAAGACAGAGGGUGCAAACGUUGUUCGGAAUUACUGGGCGUAAAGCGCAUGUAGGCUGCUCUGCAGGUCGGAUGUGAAAUCCCUCGGCUCAACCAAGGAAGUGCAUUCGAAACCGCAGAGCUAGAGUCCCGGAGAGGAAGGUGGAAUUCUCGGUGUAGAGGUGAAAUUCGUAGAUAUCGAGAGGAACACCGGUGGCGAAAGCGGCCUUCUGGACGAGGACUGACGCUGAGAUGCGAAAGCGUGGGGAGCAAACAGG